AUAAUACUCCCUUCGUCCGGAAAUACUUAUCCUAAAAAUGGAUAUAAUGGAUGUAUCUAUAACUAAAAUAAGUCUAGAUUCAUUUAUUUUUAGGACAAGUAUUUCCGGACGAAGGGAGUACAAU
rnacentral:pre_miRNA from 1 species